UGCAAAGUUGGCAAAGAAGAAUGACUGAGCAAUACUCCUCAUAUUUUCUGGGAAUUGCUUGUAGUAAAACUCAGUCUGGGCAACAUAACAGAAACCCUCAGCUAGUCCUGCAAGUGCAAGCUGAGGCACUAGCCACAAACUAGACAUUGAUGAUAUAGAGCCUCCUUUUGGUGCAAUUCCAACGGCUGGUCUAGUAAAUGCAAGUUUCUUUCUGUGUUCUUCAACCAAUCCAGAAACCAGCAUACAAAGAAUUGAAAGAACAAUUCCAAUCCCCAUUCUUUGGAGUAAUGUGAAUCCUCCUUCUUUACCAGUGAGAUUUCGAAGAUAUGGAA
rnacentral:misc_RNA from 1 species